GCCUUCGUAGUAUAGUGGUCAGCACGCUACGCGUAACAGAGAGGCCCGUGGUUCGAUUCCCGGCAAGGGCA
rnacentral:tRNA from 1 species